rnacentral:rRNA from 1 species
GCGUCAAUGAGGGUGAGAAUCCUGUUUGUCAUGUGCAGCCCUUUGUGCACGGUGUAUAUUUGCUGAGUCACACUCCUUGGCAUUGGAAUGCAAAGUGGGUGGUAAGUUUCAUGUAAAGGUAAACAUGCAAUUGAGACUGAUAGCACACAAGUACCAUGAGGGAAAUAUGAAAAGGACUUUGAAAAGAGAAUUAAAUGAGUUUGUAUUUGCUGAACACAAAGUAAACAGACUUGAUUUGCUUGGUGGGAGUGUUGCACUUGCUUGACAAGAGCUUUGGGCUGUGGGUGUAAUGAUUCUUUCUUUGCAUGCCAGUUUCUAUUUGUACAUCUGAUUACCUUUGCACAUGAAUGAUAAGUCUCCUGUGGGGGGUGGAUUGCAUGUGCAUGUAAUGAUUUGUGUUUUGAUAAAUGUGUCUGGUGUAUGUGUGUGUUCCUGUGCUUGGGGAUGCUUCCUUCCUUGGACUUACAAGCCCUGACACACACAUGCUGGCAAAAUGCUUCUGCUUGACCCGUCUUGAAACACGGACCAAGGAGUCUAACAGAUGUGCAAAGUUUGAAGGUGGUAUACCUUUGUGUGCAAUGAAAGUGUCAGCUGGGAUAUGUGCACCAGCACCCAAUUAAUUAGCGGACAGAGGUUUGAGUUGGAGCAUAUCUAUUAGGACCCGAAAGAUGGUGAACUAUGCCUGAACAGAAUGAAUUCAGAGGAAACUCUGAUGGAGGUUCGUAUCGAUACUGACGUGCAAAUCGUUCGUCAUAUUUGGGUAUAGGGGCGAAAGACUAAUCGAACCAUCUAGUAGCUGGUUCCCUCCGAAGUUUCCCUCAGGAUAGCUGGAGUUGCUCAGUUUUAUCAGGUAAAGCGAAUGAUUAGAGGAAUUGGGGACAGGUUUGUCUUUGACCUAUUCUCAAACUUUAAAUGGGUAAUAUGUAGUGGUUGCUGUAUGGAACUUCUAAGAUAAAUGGCAAUAUUGGGUGGGCCAUUUUUGGUAAGCAGAACUGGCGAUGAGGGAUGAACCUAAUGUGGGGCUAAGGUGCUUA